ensembl:lncRNA
GCCCACAAGAGGGAGCUGAUCACCUUCUUUAAGGUAAAAACUGAAGUGUAGUUUUCCACCCGCUCCACCGGGCGGCGGAAUCAGGCUUUAGGUUCAGUUUUUGACGCAUUUAGAUGCUGCUUUACAACAUGACGCUUGAUAACAGUCACAACAACACAAUAAGGGAUGUUUGAACUGUUACACUCAGCCAACAGAAGCAUGUGGACAGACAUUGACUGUAAUGAAGGACAUCUGCUGAUGCACAGGCAGAAGCAUAACGCCUGCUGGACAUUGUGCUGGAGCUCGGGGAGGACACCAUGAUCCCCCACACCUUCUCACUCACACCAGACCAUUCACUCAUAUCACAGAGAUCUGGCUGGACUUGAACCAGCAACCUCUGAAACCAUGAGGCAGUGCUCUUACCACUGAGCCACAGAUCUCUUGUCUGAACAUGUGCAGGAACUUAUAUUUCACUAUUCUCCCUGUCAUUUUACAAUGAACCAAAAAAAAAAAAAAAAAACCUUGUUUUGACCCAAUGAGGUGGGAUUUGAACCCAAGACAUUGCCACAGUCCUGAUUGUGAAUAGCAACUGUUUAGCCAUUAGUGCCACAAUGGCAUUCACUCAUGGCCAAUUUGUUGUAUAUAAUGCAAUACAUGAGCUUUAACGUAAGCAAUUGUGAGGCUUUAACUCAGGACUCCAUGAGCCCAACACAACACUCUGCAUCCUGAGCCACUGACCCAGCUGAGUUAACUCUUGUUUUGGACGGGUUUUGUCGAGAGCUUUGGAUCAUGUGAUUAAAAUUUAAAUAAAUUAAUAAAAAAAUAUAAAAACUUGAACAAAGACAUUUUUGAGAGC